rnacentral:rRNA from 1 species
CCUACGGGAGGCAGCAGUGGGGAAUAUUGGGCAAUGGAGGAAACUCUGACCCAGCGACGCCGCGUGCGGGAUGAAGGCCUUCGGGUUGUAAACCGCUUUCAGUAGGGAAGAAGCGAAAGUGACGGUACCUACAAAAGAAGCACCGGCUAACUAUGUGCCAGCAGCCGCGGUAAUACAUAGGGUGCAAGCGUUGUCCGGAAUUAUUGGGCGUAAAGAGCUCGUAGGUCGUUUGUUACGUCGGAUGUGAAAACCUGAGGCUCAACCUCAGGCCUGCAUUCGAUACGGGCAAACUAGAGUUUGGUAGGGGAGACUGGAAUUCCUGGUGUAGCGGUGGAAUGCGCAGAUAUCAGGAGGAACACCAAUGGCGAAGGCAGGUCUCUGGGCCAAUACUGACACUGAGGAGCGAAAGUCUGGGGAGCGAACAGGAUUAGAUACCCUGGUAGUCCAGACCAUAAACGGUGGGCACUAGUUGUGGGAACCUUCCACGGUUUCUGCGACGCAGCUAACGCAUUAAGUGCCCCGCCUGGGGAGUACGAUCGCAAGAUUAAAACUCAAAGGAAUUGACGG